rnacentral:lncRNA from 1 species
UCAGUGUUGUGCAGAAACCAACACCACCACAAGACUCGGAACAGAAUUCCGACCAAACCCCAGAAAUUUCUCCGGCAGACUCCCCGUCACGCGCCGCCACGCGCCGCCACAGCUGUCGGUUAUAGAACAUUUGGUCACUUUACUAAUAUGGGAAAUAAUUACAUAUCAUAUUAUAUGUAGCCUAAUAUUCCUAACAAAGGAACCGCAAUUGUGAUGCCAAUAUUCAAAGUCAAUAAAAGGAUCUCUUUUAUUUUCACAUGGUAGCAGAAUCUCCACGAUCUAGGUAGAUUCUCAAGUAACUUGUGCUUAUAGGUGAUAACCUUACGCCUCCCGCACAUCAAAUGUUCUUGCUUUUGUCGCCUUUUUCAUGGUCAGCACC